GUAAUAAUGAGAGCCAGGUGUGUGUAAUGAUGAGUGCCAGGUGUGUGUAAUGAUGAGUGCCAGGUGGGUGUAUUAAUGAGAGCCAGGUGUGUGUAAUGAUGAGUGCCAGGUGUACGUAAUGAUGAGUGCCAGGUGUGCGUAAUAAUGAGAGCCAGGUGUGCGUAAUAAUGAGUGCCAGGUGGGUGUAAUGAUGAGUGCCAGGUGGGUGUAAUGAUGAGUGCCAGGUGUGUGUAAUGAUGAGUGCCAGGUGUGUGUAAUGAUGGGUGCCAGGUGUGUGUAAUGAUGAGUGCCAGGUGGGUGUAAUGAUGAGUGCCAGGUGGGUGUAAUGAUGAGUGCCAGGUGUGUGUAAUGAUGAGUGCCAGGUGUGUGUAAUGAUGGGUGCCAGGUGGGUGUAAUGAUGAGUGCCAGGUGUGUGUAAUGAUGAGUGCCAGGUAGCGUAAUAAUGAGUGCCAGGUGGGUGUAAUGAUGAGUGCCAGGUGGGUGUAAUGAUGAGUGCCAGAUGGGUGUAAUGAUGAGUGCCAGGUGGGUGUAAUGAUGAGUGCCAGGUGUGUGUAAUGAUGAGUGCCAGGUGUGUGUAAUGAUGAG
ensembl:lncRNA